UGCGAGCCAUUGAAAGUCCUGCUCACCAUUAACACUACACCAUGGGCCAUGACUAUACAGGGAAAUGAGGUUUGGAUUGGAGAUGAGAAAGGAAAAGUACAGAUCUUCAGGUAUUCUUACUAAAAGAGUUUUGUGUGAUGACACUGAUGGCAAUCUUUGUCCCCUGUUCAGAGGACAGAUGAU
rnacentral:misc_RNA from 1 species